rnacentral:rRNA from 1 species
CCUACAUAGCGGGUGGGACCCACGGCGAAUGGUUCAUCAAGUCUUCAAAAAAGAAUAUAUACGAUUCGAUUGCAUAUACUAACGGAUGCGAUCAUACCAGCACUAAUGCACCGGAUCCCAUCAGAACUCCGCAGUUAAGCGUGCUUGGGCGAGAGUAGUACUAGGAUGGGUGACCUCCCGGGAAGUCCUCGUGUUGCAUCCCUCUUUUAUGUUUAAC